rnacentral:rRNA from 1 species
UACGGGGGGGGCAAGCGUUGUUCGGAAUUACUGGGCGUAAAGGGCGCGUAGGUGGCCCGGUCAGUCUUUGGUGAAAGCGCGGGGCUCAACCCUGCGUCGGCCAGGGAUACUGCCGCGGCUCGAGCACUGUAGAGGCAGGCGGAAUUCCGGGUGUAGCGGUGGAAUGCGUAGAGAUCCGGAAGAACACCGGUGGCGAAGGCGGCAUCCUGGACCGGUAUUGACGCUGAGGCGCGAAAGCUAGGGGAGCAAACGGG